UACGGGGGGGGCAAGCGUUGUUCGGAAUUACUGGGCGUAAAGGGCUCGUAGGCGGCCAACUAAGUCAGACGUGAAAUCCCUCGGCUUAACCGGGGAACUGCGUCUGAUACUGGAUGGCUUGAGUUUGGGAGAGGGAUGCGGAAUUCCAGGUGUAGCGGUGAAAUGCGUAGAUAUUAGGAGGAACACCAGUGGCGAAGGCGCCUAACUGGACGAGUACUGACGCUCAUGCACGAAAGCGUGGGGAUCAAACAGG
rnacentral:rRNA from 1 species